AUUGAACGCUGGCGGCAGGCCUAACACAUGCAAGUCGAACGAGUGGCGGACGGGUGAGUAAUGCAUGGGGAUCUGCCUGAUAGAGGGGGAUAACUACUGGAAACGGUGGCUAAUACCGCAUACUAUCGGAUGAACCCAAAUGGGAUUAGAUAGUGGGUGGGGUAAAGGCUCACCUAGGCGACGAUCUCUAGCUGGUCUGAGAGGAUGACAAGCCACACUGGGACUGAGACACGGCCCAGACUCCUACGGGAGGCAGCAGUGGGGAAUAUUGCGCAAUGGGGGCAAGCCUGAUGCAGCCAUGCCGCGUGUAUGAAGAAGGCCUUAGGGUUGUAAAGUACUUUCGGCGGUGAGGCGUUACCCGCAGAAGAAGCACCGGCUAACUCCGUGCCAGCAGCCGCGGUAAUUC
rnacentral:rRNA from 1 species